UACAGAGGUCUCAAGCGUUGUUCGGAUUCAUUGGGCGUAAAGGGUGCGUAGGCGGCGCGGUAAGUCGGGUGUGAAAUCUUGGAGCUUAACUCCGAAACUGCAUUCGAUACUGCCGUGCUUGAGGACUGGAGAGGAGACUGGAAUUUACGGUGUAGCGGUGAAAUGCGUAGAUAUCGUAAGGAAGACCAGUGGCGAAGGCGGGUCUCUGGGACAGUUCCUGACACUGAGGCACGAAGGCCAGGGGAGCAAACGGG
rnacentral:rRNA from 1 species